UACGUAGGGUGCAAGCGUUGUCCGGAAUUAUUGGGCGUAAAGAGCUCGUAGGCGGUUUGUCGCGUCUGCUGUGAAAACUCAGGGCUUAACCCUGAGCUUGCAGUGGGUACGGGCAGACUUGAGUGCGGUAGGGGAGACUGGAAUUCCUGGUGUAGCGGUGAAAUGCGCAGAUAUCAGGAGGAACACCGGUGGCGAAGGCGGGUCUCUGGGCCUUACCUGACGCUGAGGCGCGAAAGCGUGGGGAGCGAACAGG
rnacentral:rRNA from 1 species